CCUGAGAAACCCAAAAGAUCGAAUGGGGAGAUUCAUCGUCAGCGGGGCUGGCUUCCGUGCGGCGCGCGAUGACGGGGACCCCGGUCUCGCGUCACGCCGCCGCUGCGGCAUGCCCGGCUCCGUCGGCGUGCACUUCUCCCCUAGUAGGACGUCGCGACCCGUUGGGUGUCGGAUCGAUGGCCGUUCGGUCGUCUGUCGUGCUCUCGCGCUUCAGACCGUCCGGUCGAACGUCCGACUGCCCGGCGGUAUCGAACGUUGAAAACUGGUAUUGGGCCGCAUUCAGUGCGUUCCUGGCUCGUCGGCAGGCUCGUCUCGCUCGGAUUUACGGACCUAGCGCCGUUGCCGGGCGCUUGGCGCGGCCGUUAGUCGGCGAUGUCCUCGGACUGGCUCUUACCGGUCGGCGACGCUACUGCUUUGGGUACUUUC
rnacentral:rRNA from 1 species